UACGUAGGGGGCAAGCGUUGUCCGGAUUUAUUGGGCGUAAAGAGCGUGUAGGCGGCUAGGUAGGUCCGUUGUGAAAACUCGAGGCUCAACCUCGAGACGCCGAUGGAAACCAUCUAGCUAGAGUCCGGAAGAGGAGAGUGGAAUUCCUGGUGUAGCGGUGAAAUGCGCAGAUAUCAGGAAGAACACCCGUGGCGAAAGCGGCUCUCUGGAACGGUACUGACGCUGAGACGCGAAAGCGUGGGGAGCGAACAGG
rnacentral:rRNA from 1 species